UGCCGGAAUAGCUCAGU
rnacentral:tRNA from 2 species